rnacentral:rRNA from 1 species
CCUACGGGAGGCAGCAGUGAGGAAUAUUGGUCAAUGGACGCGAGCCUGAACCAGCCAAGUAGCGUGAAGGAUGACUGCCCUACGGGUUGUAAACUUCUUUUAUAAAGGAAUAAAGGCAGGCACGUGUGCCUUUUUGUAAGUACUUUAUGAAUAAGGAUCGGCUAACUCCGUGCCAGCAGCCGCGGUAAUACGGAGGAUUCGAGCGUUAUCCGGAUUUAUUGGGUUUAAAGGGAGCGUAGAUGGGCUGUUAAGUCAGUUGUGAAAGUUCGCGGCUCAACCGUAGAAUUGCCAUUGAUACUGGCAGGCUUGAGGACAGUUGAGGUAGGCGGAAUGUGUGGUGUAGCGGUGAAAUGCUUAGAGAUCACGAAGAACCCCGAUUGCGAAGGCAGCUUACCAAACUGUGACUGACAUUGAUGCACGAAAGCGUGGGUAUCAAACAGGAUUAGAUACCCGGGUAGUC